GACGAACGCUGGCGGCGUGCUUAACACAUGCAAGUCGAGCGGUAAGGCCCUUUCGGGGGUACACGAGCGGCGAACGGGUGAGUAACACGUGAGUGACCUGCCCUCAGCUCUGGGAUAAGCCUGGGAAACCGGGUCCAAUACCGGAUAUGACUCCAUGACGCAUGUUGUGGGGUGGAAAGCCUUGUGCGGCUGGGGAUGGGCCCGCGGCCUAUCAGCUUGUUGGUGGGGUGAUGGCCUACCAAGGCGA
rnacentral:rRNA from 1 species